rnacentral:rRNA from 1 species
UACAGAGGUCUCAAGCGUUGUUCGGAUUCAUUGGGCGUAAAGGGUGUGUAGGUGGCGCCGUAAGUCGGGUGUGAAAUUUCGGAGCUUAACUCCGAAACUGCAUUCGAUACUGCGGUGCUUGAGGACUGGAGAGGAGACUGGAAUUCAUGGUGUAGCAGUGAAAUGCGUAGAGAUCAUGAGGAAGACCAGUGGCGAAGGCGGGUCGUCUGGACAGUUCCUGACACUGAGGCACGAAGGCCAGGGGAGCAAACGGG